rnacentral:rRNA from 1 species
UCGAGAAUCUUCCACAAUGGACGAAAGUCUGAUGGAGCGACGCCGCGUGAGUGAUGAAGGCCCUACGGGUUGUAAAACUCUGUCAGGAGAGAAGAAUCGCCGGGAUGCCAAUACCAUCCUGGUUUGACGUUAUCUCCAGAGGAAGCUCCGGCUAACUCCGUGCCAGCAGCCGCGGUAAUACGGGGGGAGCAAGCGUUGUCCGGAAUUAUUGGGCGUAAAGGGCGUGUAGGCGGCUUGGUCAGUCGAAUGUGAAAUCCCACGGCUCAACCGUGGAAUUGCGUUCGAUACUGCCUGGCUUGAGUAUGUGAGAGGUGUGCGGAAUUCCUGGUGUAGCGGUGGAAUGCGUAGAUAUCAGGAAGAACACCGAUGGCGAAGGCAGCACACUGGCGCAAUACUGACGCU